UCUCUGAAGCCUCCAAGAUGAAAGAAGAACAGAAAGAAGGAGAAGAAGAAUGACCUAGCUACUUGCUAUCUUAUCGUGCACCUCCAAUAGUUGAAGCUGCCAGCAUGAUCUAAGCUUUCUUUGUACAUAGGACAGGCUAGAUCAUGUGGUCGCUUCACCUGUUGAAUGAAGCACGAGAAAACCCUAGAUUCACAGCCAUCGACCUCCUCAAGAACCCAUUAGGGUUUUUUUUUUUUUUUU